rnacentral:rRNA from 1 species
UGGUGGAGCGAUUUGUCUGGUUAAUUCCGAUAACGAACGAGACUCUAGCCUGCUAAAUAGCCAACUGAUCCGCAGCGUCAGUUGCUAAAAAGCUUCUUAGAGGGACAGGCGGCGUUUAGUCGCACGAGAUUGAGCAAUAACA